rnacentral:lncRNA from 1 species
UACUAUUUUUAGUACAACCACAAUUCUGCACAAUUGGAUGUCUUUGGUCUCCAUCCCUCUCCCUGUUGAGAUGCUCCAUCCCCAUGAGAACUGCUGUCAGUCAGGUGGCUUUGGCUUGUCUGUGGUCUUCUGGUCACUGGGACAUCUGGGACAGCGUCAGCCUUGCUUCCCGAUGCAUCUCCAGAGGUGCAUCUAGGCCUGGCAUACAGGUAGGUGCUCUGACGAGGACUGAGAAAU